UACGAAGGGUGCAAGCGUUACUCGGAAUUACUGGGCGUAAAGCGUGCGUAGGUGGUUUGUUAAGUCUGUUGUGAAAGCCCCGGGCUCAACCUGGGAAUGGCAAUGGAUACUGGCAGGCUAGAGUGCGGUAGAGGGUAGUGGAAUUCCCGGUGUAGCGGUGAAAUGCGUAGAGAUCGGGAGGAACACCAGUGGCGAAGGCGGCUACCUGGACCAGCACUGAGCACUGAGGCAC
rnacentral:rRNA from 1 species